CAAUGGACGAAACUCUGACGCAGCCACGCCGCGUGCCGGAAGACGGCCCUAUGGGUUGUAAACGGCUUUUGAAUGGGAAGAACGCCCGGGUUUCGAUCUGGGGUGACGGUACCAUUUGAAUAAGCACCGGCUAACUCCGUGCCAGCAGCCGCGGUAAUACGGAGGGUGCAAGCGUUGUCCGGAAUCAUUGGGUGUAAAGGGUGCGUAGGCGGGAGCCUAAGUCUGUGGUGAAAUCUUGCCGCUUAACGGUAAAAUGGCCAUGGAUACUGGGUUUCUUGAGUACAGAAGAGGCAGGUGGAAUUCGUAGUGUAUCGGUGAAAUGCAUAGAUAUUACGAAGAACACCAGUGGCGAAGGCGGGCUGCUGGGCUGUAACUGACGCUGAGGCACGAAAGCGUGGGGAGCGAACAGGAUUAGAUACCCUGGUAGUCCACGCUGUAAACGAUGUAUGCUAGUUGUUGGCUCUUUGGGGCCAGUGACGCAGUUAACGCAGUAAGCAUACCACCUGGGGAGUACGUAGGAUCGGAUGAAACUA
rnacentral:rRNA from 1 species